GCACGCUUCCGUGAAAUGGAAGCAUGUUUUCAUGUGACACAUUAUAAACAGAGUAAAAAACACCUAAUAUCUUAGAAAUUGGUAUCAAUAGAAAGUAUCUAGAGUAAAUUCCAGUUAUUUUGAUAUGUAAUUUUAUGAUUUUUAUUAAGUAUUUGUUUAUCUUUUAUGUUAACUAAAAACCAGUAAAAUUUUGGAUCAAAAUGACGUAAUAAUGUACACAAAACGCAUACAGAUAGGCAGGUCCAGUAUAAAUGCAAUUUAGUAUUUAUGUUGAGUGUGUUACCAUAGCAACGAUUAUUGACAUAAUAAAAACAAGAAUUCCAAUGAUAAGAGUAAUUCGUAUUAUUACUUAUUUGUUGAUUUACAGGAUGUCUAAUUAAAAAGGAACAAAAAAAAAGCAACUGGCCGACCCCGCCCGCCGCCCCUAAAAUAUGAUUUUUCCAAUUUUGGGGCCCUUUUUUUGCGUGCCGAUAUUAUCUUCAUAACUCCAGUUAGGAUCAAUGGUAUUUUGUGAUUUUGGUGUCUACAUAAAGCUGAUAAUAAGGCCGAUCUUAUUAGUAGAAUCACAAAUUUACAUCUUUAUCACUAAAUUGCAUAUUCUUUUAAAAAUACAAAAAAUUUAAACAUUAUUAUCUGUUUAUUUGGUUACCAUAGCAACACACUGAAUGAGUUUUCCUUCCAAGAAGAUUCUGCUAGGAUCGAAGGCUCAGGCCCCUUUUUGACUCAGGUUAUUUAUUUAUUUUUACGAAGAAUGCAUGAUUUUGCCUUUUGAAGUACUGGAUCUCAUGAUAUCAUGUGACUACUUAUGUUUUAUACUUUCGUCAUGACAGGAGCAUUUCUUCUCAGAAAAUGAAGGAUUCAUUGAGUACAGUUUCAAGAAUAUAUGAGGCCGAAUGGCAAACAGGGUAAGAAGAGGAAGCAUGCCAAAUCAUAUGAUCACAAACAAGAAGAUGUGAUAGUGGAUGAGGAAUUACUUCAAGGUGAAGAAUUACAAGAAAAGGUUAACUGAAAGAAGCACACAGUUCCCACUGCAGCAAAUAAGGGGAAAAUUAUCAAAUUUUUCAAAGACACUGCUGCUUAUCGUCAAAUGAUGCUAAAGAAGAGGACAGACAUGACCAUUACAGACUUCAUCACCACCUUUCCAAGGAUACAAGAGAUGCCAGAACUUAUCAACAUGGACUUUGAAGCAGAACAUGGGCACCUUUCUGACAAUUUUAUUUCAAAGUGGGAGUCGUUCUACCGAGACCGUAUCAUAAAAUUAGGUUUGAGCGGGUAUCCAGCGGUAAAAGAAUCAAUUCAACAGUUUUGAGGAAGGUGACAACAGAGACCUGUGUGGUUUAACUGCACUGUUGCUGAUGUUACAUAAGCCACUGACAAAGACCAAGAACCCCACCUCGAGUUCAAGAGCAUCGAGUUUGGAGCACUUCAUCCAGUACAGACCUAUUGGGACAGAUGUUCAAGCGGCAGCAGCUGGGAAGUCUGCUGAGUUUCGGCAGCCCUAUAUUCUAGCCAUUGGACACAGACGCAAGCCACUACAAUCUUGCGGAUCGAACUACUUCUUCAGUUUUCAACCAAUAUUCAUGAAAUUUGGCACAUACAUUGGUCUGUUGUGAGGAUGUGCAGACACAUUUUUCACAAAAGUAACUAGAAAACAAGGUGAUAUCUAGUUUGAUAUUACAUUGCUGAGAGUGAUUUAUUAUUCGUGAGUCAUAAGCUAAAGAAUCAAGCAUAAUUUACAGGGUCUUGCAUUAAGACAUAGAGACAAAUUUAACCCUAAAUAGACUGGGGAGGGGGAGGGUGAAAGGCCCCCCCUUGAAUUUUUUUUUUGGCCAUAAAUCUGUCGAUAAAUCUCAUGCAACUUUUGAGACCAAAUUUGGGACGCCUGGGUAUGCAGUCCGAAAUUAUGCAUAAUUAUGUAAGUGCAUGUCAGUCCCAAAAUUGCUCAAAAUGCAAAUUCUGUUUGUAGCCAAAAUUCAUACCGUUCUCUUUACUUUUACUGAUUAAAAUCAAUUAAUUUCAUGUUGUUUAUUAAGAUCAUAAAAUUAUUGUCGACGAUUUCCAUCCAAAAAAAGUCGAAAACAAAGAAAUACAUAUGAAAUUUCAAAAACAAUUAAAUACUUAAAACACUUUGAUACUGAUUAUUUUUUGAUGUGCAUUUGGUCAGAAUCUCACAGGGA